CCUACGGGAGGCAGCAGUGAGGAAUAUUGGUCAAUGGCCGGAAGGCUGAACCAGCCAUGCCGCGUGAAGGUCAGUGCCCUAUGGGCGUUAAACUUCUUUUGUGCGGGAGCAAUCAUGGUCACGUGUGGCCAGACGAGAGUACCGUACGAAUAAGCAUCGGCUAACUCCGUGCCACCAGCCGCGGUAAUACGGGGGAUGCAAGCGUUAUCCGGAUUUAUUGGGUUUAAAGGGUGCGUCGACUGGGAGGUAAGUCAGCGGUGAAAUGCCCCCGCGCAACGGGGUGAAGUGCCAUUGAUACUGCCGUGCUGGAAUGCGGAUGCGGUGGGAGGAAUGUGUGGUGUAGCGGUGAAAUGCAUAGAUAUCACACAGAACACCGAUUGCGAAGGCAUCUCACGAAUCCGCGAUUGACGCUGAUGCACGAAAGCGUGGGUAUCAAACAGGAUUAGAUACCCGUGUAGUC
rnacentral:rRNA from 1 species